ACGCAUGCUUUCCAAGGAUCCGGGCUCUGCUGUAGUCCUGGGUUCUCCAAGAGCGUGCCAGAGAAACGGAGAGACUUUGACUGUCGAAGCUGAUCUGUGCCUGUGGCAGUCACUCUACUGUCCCACACCU